GGCGAGUGAACCGGGAAGAGCUCAAAUUUGAAAUCUGGCGUCCUCAGGGCGUCCGAGUUGUAAUCUAUAGAGGCGUUUUCCGUGCCGGACCGUGUCCAAGUUCCUUGGAACAGGAUAUCAAAGAGGGUGACAAUCCCGUACUUGACACGACGACCGGUGCUCUGUGAUACGUCUUCUACGAGUCGAGUUGUUUGGGAAUGCAGCUCAAAAUGGGUGGUGAGUUCCAUCUAAAGCUAAAUAUUGGCGAGAGACCGAUAGCGAACAAGUACCGUGAGGGAAAGAUGAAAAGCACUUUGGAAAGAGAGUUAAACAGUACGUGAAAUUGUUGAAAGGGAAACGAUUGAAGUCAGUCGUGACCGAGAGGCUCAGCCGGUUCUGCCGGUGUAUUCCCCUCGGUCGGGUCAACAUCAGUUUUGUCCGGUGGAUAAGGGCGGUAGGAAGGUGGCACCCUCGGGUGUGUUAUAGCCUGCCGUCGCAUACAUCGGGUGAGACUGAGGAACGCAGCUCGCCUUUAUGGCCGGGGUUCGCCCACGUCCGAGCUUAGGAUGUUGACAUAAUGGCUUUAAACGACCCGUCUUGAA
rnacentral:rRNA from 1 species